GUACCUUCAAGCUUUGCUUGGUGAUGGGUGUUUGUUCUAUCCAUUUGUGACUGGACUCGCCUUAAAAUUAUUGGCAGCCGGCAUAUUGGCCUUUGGAGCGCAGCACAUUUUGCGAUCUAAGCCUGUAUACUGGUAUCCAUUAAGCCAUAUCAUCAC
rnacentral:misc_RNA from 1 species